rnacentral:misc_RNA from 1 species
AUUAAUAAUAUUAUGAUGGUAUUUUUUCUAGGAAUGCUGUCAUGCCACCCUUAGCAGGUAAUGGAACAGGUUAAGGGUGGAGAGAAUGAUACAUCCAUUGGCGAAGAGCCAAAUGCAAAAAGGCAUAGGGGAGACCCUAAUGCACCAACACCUGCCAAGAGUGUCAUGGUUCUGUUUGAUAGUGAUGUCAGGGUUGGAGAGAAUGGUGAAGUGCGCAUGCCAAACACCAUUGAAAUGGCACAACUCAAAAAGCAAGGAAAAGGGCAGUUUGCCAAGAUAUCCUUUACCUCAGAGAUGACAAAAGAGGAUGUCCACAGGGCACUUUGUGUCAAGUUCCCUAUUUUGAGCAAUAAAACAAGACUUAGGUGUGCUUCAGCCAUUGAAAACCGGACAAGGCUAGAAUUUCAUGGUGAUCCGAGACUGUGGGAUGGAGCUCUCAUUAAGAGACUCAUCAGAGGCAAUUCAGCUCUUUAUUUGCUUGCCGAGGGAAGUUGUGAAUCUAAUGAGUCACAAAUGCCACCUUCAGGUACAGUUUCAGAAGCUGCCACAGCACCACAGAAUGUUCUUAGUCAACAGAUGCAACCUCUGUUGGUCAAAACAAGACAGGGGGACCUCUCAGGACCACCAACUUACAAUACAUGUGUGAACAGAGGCACGGAAGUCUUACAUAGAGGUUCACAGCAAUCUUUGGAGCAAGGUAGGUUUGCUGGGAAAUUGACUGGUUGGGAAAACCUUUUACAACACAGUACCUUUACGUCACCUUCAAGGAACCAAGAAAAUGGAACUUCUUCAGUUGCAUUACGUGGAAUUCAAGGCUGUGGUCAGAGUGCCACAGAAAAUUUGACAUUCCAACGUAUGCAGCAUGGAUUCAGUUCAUUAGCAACAUCAACUCAAAAAAGCAGUUUGCAACUGGAGGGGGUACCCUCACAACAAUCAGUAAAUGAAGAUAGUAUGGCAAACCCUGUUCAGCACCAUUACCACACAGAUCUGGGCGGUAAAGCAACAAUGUGGGGGAGUUCAUCAAAACAAAGCAUGCAGUCUUCAGUGGCACAAGGUUCAGCUUUAGUGGCUACACAAAAACUUAAAGCUCUAACACAGUUACCAUGGGUGGAUUUAAUAACAGGGGCAGCUAAUACCAGAGGAGGCCUUUUGCAGCCAGGUCUGUCAGUACAGAAAAGGAAAUAUGAUUCCAUUGUACUGUAGAGCCAGGCUCCACUGAGCUGAUAACCCUGAUCUGGGUAUAGAUGAUGCCAAUUUUGGUCAAAGAGCACAUGGAAAAUGCCCAAAGU